rnacentral:rRNA from 1 species
UACAGAGGGGGCAAGCGUUGUUCGGAAUUACUGGGCGUAAAGGGCGCGUAGGCGGCCUGUUAAGUCGAACGUGAAAUCCCCGGGCUCAACCCGGGAACUGCGUCCGAUACUGGCAGGCUUGAAUCCGGGAGAGGGAUGCGGAAUUCCAGGUGUAGCGGUGAAAUGCGUAGAUAUCGGAAGGAACAUCAGUGGCGAAAGCGACUUCCUGGACCAGUACCGACGUUCAGGCACGAAAGCGUGGGGAGCAAACAGG